rnacentral:rRNA from 1 species
UUGUUGUCCGACUCUGUUGCCUCCGGGGCGACCCUGCCUUCGGGCGGGGGCUCCGGGUGGACACUUCAAACUCUUGCGUAACUUUGCAGUCUGAGUAAACUUAAUUAAUAAAUUAAAACUUUUAACAACGGAUCUCUUGGUUCUGGCAUCGAUGAAGAACGCAGCGAAAUGCGAUAAGUAAUGUGAAUUGCAGAAUUCAGUGAAUCAUCGAAUCUUUGAACGCACAUUGCGCCCCCUGGUAUUCCGGGGGGCAUGCCUGUUCGAGCGUCAUUUCACCACUCAAGCCUCGCUUGGUAUUGGGCAACGCGGUCCGCCGCGUGCCUCAAAUCGACCGGCUGGGUCUUCUGUCCCCUAAGCGUUGUGGAAACUAUUCGCUAAAGGGUGCUCGGGAGGCUACGCCGUAAAACAAACCCAUUUCUAAGGUUGACCUCGGAUCAGGUAGGGAUACCCGCUGAACUUAAGCAUAUCAA